GAUGAACGCUAGCGGCAGGCCUAAUACAUGCAAGUCGAACGAGAUUAAGAGGCUUGCUUCUUAUGAAAGUGGCGCACGGGUGCGUAACGCGUAUGCAACCUACCUUAAUCAGGGGGAUAGCCCGAAGAAAUUCGGAUUAAGACCGCAUAAAAACACAGGAUAGCAUUAUCCAAUGUUCAAAUAUCUAUAGGAUUACGAUGGGCAUGCGUGUCAUUAGCUAGUUGGCUGGGUAACGGCCCACCAAGGCGACGAUGACUAGGGGAUCUGAGAGGAUGACCCCCCACACUGGUACUGAGACACGGACCAGACUCCUACGGGAAGCAGCAGUAAGGAAUAUUGGUCAAUGGAGGGAACUCUGAACCAGCCAUGCCGCGUGCAGGAAGACAGCCCUCUGGGUCGUAAACUGCUUUUAUUCGGGAAUAAACCUUUCUACGUGUAGGAAGCUGAAUGUACCGAAGGAAUAAGGAUCGGCUAACUCCGUG
rnacentral:rRNA from 1 species